UAAAACCCCUACCCCAAAUAUAGUCAUAAAAGUUAAUAAAAACACAAAAAGAUUUUCAUAAAUUCCCGACAACAACGUCAAAAUUUCUCCGGCUGGUCUUCUUGCAUGGCUGAGCAGCCGCGGUAGCGCACAACCAGCCACCACACCGCUGUCCAGCGCCACCGCUGCUCCGCCUUGCCGGAAUUUCUAUACGUUGUAACAUAUGCUAUAUAUAUAGAGAUAGAUUUAUAAAUAAUAAUGGCAAAUAUGUUUGAAGAGAGCCGAAUAUCGACGGCGGUGGGCAUCGACAAAGACAAGAACAGCCAAUCCGCCGUGAAAUGGGCCCUCGAAAAAUUGAGGUUGAAAGAUAACCACAUUCUCCUCGUGCACGUUAAAAUCCAACAUGGCCCUGAUUCGCAUGAUGCUCCUAGAGAGGGCAGAGAGCCAACUCCAGCUGAAACACAGCAACUAUUCCUUCCUUACCGCGGUUUUUGUGCUCGAAAAGGGAUUCGUUCGAAAGAGGUGGUUCUGCAAGGCAACGAUGUGGCAAGCACGCUCGCAGAGUAUGCCAGCCGGAACUCUAUCGUGAACGUGGUUGUAGGCACUUCGAGUCGAGGUGCCAUAGCAAGGGCCUUCAAGAAUCCGGAUGUUCCAAGUUAUUUGAUGAAAAUUGCACCUGAUUUCUGCAACGUGUACUCUGUGUCAAAGUCGAAAGCGCAGAAACUGAAAUCUGCCAAUGAUUCCGGGACCCCCAGCAGCACAGCCAGCUCGUGCUCAGUAGACAGCUCAUUUCCUUCAAAAUUUCGCCCUCAGGAGAGCUGGAAAAGCUCCGUCUCUGACGCCUGCGAUCUGGAUGGGGGCAAGAAUGCGUCGCCUUUCAACAGCAGAGAGUCUCGUCAGAUCACUCCGAGGGACUGGGCUUUUGGCAGAAUACCUUCACCUCAGCAUUCAAAUGAAUCUCUCCAAAGGGGAUCAGCAAACACUAGCUAUGAAUCUAUCGGCUUAGGCAGCUAUUACAGCAACAGCAAUGUCUCAGGGGCCAGCGACAGUGAAACCGGGCAUAUGCCUCGGCCCAAGAAGCUAGACCCCGAUGUGUCAGAUAUCCUACAAUCUAUGAGGAACCAGAAUCUUCAAGUUCGAACCAGGGACAGUCCACAGUACUCCAUGGCUUCUUCGAGUGAUCAUUCGGAUAUGCAGAGUUUCCCUUCGGAUGUGUCGUACGAACAUCUGGACCAGUUCCGGAUGUCUUUAUCUUCGAGAAGCUCUAUCUGCUCACAAACAGCUGAUGUAGAGGACGAGCUCAGAAGAUUAAAACACGAGAUGAAGCGAAUCACAAUGAUGUAUAAUCUAGUUUGUCAAGAAUCUGAGACGGCUACUGAUAAGGAUGCCGGCGGCCAAGGAGACGGUAACCAUUCCCAAGAGUCUGCAUUGGCCAUGGUUGAGAGGGAGAAGUUGAAGUGCAAGGCCGCAGUUGAGCUUGCACAGACAGCACAACGCAUAGCAGAGCUGGAGUCGGAAAAGAGAAAGUCUGCAGAGAAGAAGUUCAGAGUGGAGGCCGAAGAAAAGGAGAAGGCGAUUCACGCACUAGCAAAUACCGAGGUUCAAUACAGAAAGUACACGAUGGAGGAAAUCCAAGAAGCCACAAAAUAUUUCGCUGGUUCAGAAAAGAUCGGUGAGGGCGGAUAUGGGCCUGUCUUUAAAGCAAGUCUUGAUCACACACCCGUUGCCAUUAAGGUUCUCAGGCCGGACAUGUCACAAGGCGAAAAGCAGUUCCAGAGAGAGGUCGAGGUGCUGAGCCGUAUGAGGCAUCCCAACAUGGUUAUCCUUUUAGGCGCUUGCCCUGAGUACGGUUGCCUCGUGUAUGAGCACAUGGAAAACGGCAGUUUAGAAGACAGGCUAAACUGCCUAAACGGCAGCCCUCCUUUAUCGUGGAGGGCCCGUUUCCGGAUAGCUGUAGAAAUCGCCACUGCCCUGAAUUUCCUGCAUCGGACAAGGCCAGAGCCCCUCGUGCACCGUGACCUCAAGCCGGCCAAUAUCCUCUUAGACAGGAAUUUAGUGAGUAAGAUCAGCGAUGUCGGCCUAUCCAGGCUGGUCCCACCGUCAGUAGCUGAUUCCAUCACUCAAUGCUGCAUGACUGCUGCAGCGGGCACGUUUUGCUACAUAGAUCCCGAGUACCAGCAAACUGGAAUGUUGGGAACGAAAUCGGACGUGUAUUCAUUCGGUGUGGUGCUGCUGCAAAUUCUUACCGCGAAACCAGCUAUGGGAUUGACCCAUCUAGUCGAAACGGCAAUAGAGAACGGCAAGUUUGCAGAGGUGCUUGAUCAGACAGUGAAAGACUGGCCAGUCGAGGAGGCCCUAGCCAUGGCGAAAUUGGCCUUACACUGCUGUGAACUGAGGAAGAGAGAUCGACCGGACCUUGAUUCAGUGAUAUUACCAGAACUGCAUCGAAUAAGAGAAACAGACUCACAGAUCAAACCUGAAGACAGACUCUACUAAAUGCAUUCACCAAUUCAAAUUUGUAAAGACCGCUCACCUCCAAUACAUGGACGACUGGAGAGAAUAAACCGAUAAACAAAAUGUACUUACGAUGGAGAUGAAGCAGUCUAUACCAUGUCCAGCACUUGCUGGUGGCGAAAACCUUAGAUGAGGCGAGAGAUGCACAUUUUUAUUUUUUCCUUUUUUGCAGAACCUGAAACUCGAGCACAAACACAGAGAAAGAGCGAGCAAGAGAGUACCAAAACAGAAGGGGUAGCAAACCAAACGGGCUGUCGUAUCUUAUUUCAGCUGUAUUCUAAAUAGUUUAUGUAGGUGUUACAACGUUCUCGGGGAUAAAUACCAUGACUAAUUUUUCCUGCCAA